rnacentral:rRNA from 1 species
AUUGUUCGCCAGAGAACUACGAGUGAAAAACUUAAAACUCUAAGGACUUGGCGGUGCCCCAUAUCAACCUAGAGGAGCCUGUCCUAUAAUCGAUACUCCACGCUUAACCUUACCCCCUUUUGAAACACAGCCUAUAUACCGCCGUCGCCAGCCCACCUUAUGAAAGAAAUUCAGUGGGCAUAAUAGUUAACAACUAAUACGUCAGGUCAAGGUGUAGCACAUGGGGGGGCAGAGAUGGGCUACAUUUCCUCCAACAGGAAACACGCACGGCACACUGAAAUAUAUGCCCUAAGGCGGAUUUAGCAGUAAGACAAACAAGACAAACCUGUCUUAAACCUGCUCUGGGACGCGCACACACCGCCCGU